CAGCCUGAGCCCUGAGAUCCUGAGCGGGCUGGCAUGGGCCAGCCAGGGGAGUCUAGUGCGUGUAGAGAUACCCUUAGGAGAGCCAGUAAGUUAAACCUGUCCCAGUGACCUGUUAACAAUCACCAGAACUAAAAGCUCAAUACUGAUCGAGAACUCCAGUUCUGGGACCAGAUGGGUGGAACUACAGGGGUCCCAAUUCUUCCCUGUUUCUAUUUAAACCAAGCAGAGGAACAAGAAGGUCCAUGCACCUGGAUUAGAUGUUUUUGUAAAAGCUAUGCUCUAGGAAUAGUUGGAGAGAUUCUAUGGCCUGUGUACACAGGAGGUCAAACUAAAUGUUCAGAAUGGUCUCUUGGGCUUGGGAUCUAUUAAAUUAAGUGGCAAAUAGGCAAGAGGAUGCUAAAGCCAUUCAAAACAGAGGUUCCUACUUUAUUAGGAUACAGUCAUAUUUUAAGUUGUGAACUUUGUGUUAUAUGCAGGACACUAAAAUAUUUGACUUUUAGGUUUUUUUUAAAAUGCCUAUUCCUAUACCAGCCCUUGACGGGAACAUAAUGAAAGGUAGAAAAUGAUCUAAUCUAUCUAGACAGCCUCUAGUAAGUGUUUGCCAGAGACUUUGAUAGGAUAGAAUCCACCCUAAUGUUGUCUUCUUUAAGACACAAACAAGUCUCUGACUGUUAGUAUAAAUAUUGAGUAAUGAUGCAAUAAAGACCACCACUAACAGCAACUUGUGGCAUUGGUUAAAAGUACAAUAAAUGAAGUCACACAGAUUUUAAAGAGACAUACUUUACUUCCUAGUGUCUGAUUUAAAAUCACUCCAGUGUUAAAACUACUGUACAAAGCCUAUCAGGCUAGCCUAUAGAGGAGGGCACAAAGAAGAGUUGUUGGUGUGUUGUUUUCUGAAACCUCUAAAGAACAUACACACUUGUCAAUACAGAUGGAUAAAUGAUUUCUGUAUAUGUUAAUAAAAUACACU